rnacentral:misc_RNA from 1 species
CUGAAGGAAAACCUGGAGAUAUCAUGGGAGAAGUUAAGAAAACCCAUAAAGCUAUCAAGUCACUGGAGAAUACAAUUUCUGCGUUGGAAAUGGAAUUAACAGCGGCUCGAACAAGCCGAUCAAGUGGCCAGCUUUCACUAGAAAGACCCACCAAUCGCUCUCUGCAAAAGGCAUUUGUUGUGAUUGGAAUAAACACAGCAUUCAGCAGCAGCAAACGCCGAGACUCAGUUCGAGAAACUUGGAUGCCAAAAGGGGAUAAAUUGAAGGAAUUGGAGAAAGAGAAAGGGAUUGUGAUAAGGUUUGUGAUUGGACACAGUGCAACACCAGGUGGGGUUCUUGAUCAAGCGUUGGAUUCAGAAGAAGCAGAGCACAAAGACUUUCUUAGACUGAAACACGUAGAGGGUUACCACCAGCUCUCCACCAAGACCAGAUUAUACUUCUCCACUGCGGUUUCCAUUUGGGACGCCAAUUUCUACAUGAAGGUAGACGAUGAUGUUCAUGUCAAUUUAGGUAUGCUAACCACCACUCUCGCUAAACACAAAUCCAAGCCUAGGAUCUAUAUCGGCUGCAUGAAGUCUGGUCCAGUUCUCUCUCAAAAAGGGGUUAAAUAUCAUGAGCCAGAGUUCUGGAAGUUUGGCGAAGAAGGGAACAAAUACUUCAGACAUGCAACUGGCCAAAUCUAUGCCAUUUCCAAGGACCUUGCUACCUAUAUCUCCAUUAACUCUCCGAUAUUGCAUAGAUAUGCCAAUGAAGAUGUUUCUUUGGGGUCAUGGUUCAUUGGAUUGGAAGUUG